rnacentral:rRNA from 1 species
CCUACGGGUGGCUGCAGUGAGGAAUAUUGGUCAAUGGACGCAAGUCUGAACCAGCCAUGCCGCGUGCAGGAAGACGGCUCUAUGAGUUGUAAACUGCUUUUGUACGAGGGUAAACGCAGAUACGCGUAUCUGUCUGAAAGUAUCGUACGAAUAAGGAUCGGCUAACUCCGUGCCAGCAGCCGCGGUAAUACGGAGGAUUCAAGCGUUAUCCGGAUUUAUUGGGUUUAAAGGGUGCGUAGGCGGUCGGAUAAGUUAGAGGUGAAAUCCCGAGGCUCAACUUCGGAAUUGCCUCUGAUACUGUGAGGCUAGAGAGUAGUUGCGGUAGGCGGAAUGUACGGUGUAGCAGUGAAAUGCUUAGAGAUCAUACAGAACACCGAUGGCGAAGGCAGCUUACCAAGCUACUUCUGACGUUGAGGCACGAAAGCGUGGGGAGCGAACGGGAUUAGAUACCCCAGUAGUC